CACCAGCUCUAGAGAGAUGAAAGCUGUUUGCUGCAGGACCGCAGACUGGGAGAGUGACCGUUCAUUCUGGCUUUGAGGAUCCGUUAUGCAUCCUUGAAGACCAGACGAUUCUCGGGGCUGAAAGGGGUAGAAGGCCCUUCAGCAAGCCCUGACUGCUCCAUCUUCCAAACACGUGGCAUGACUGUCAUCCUGGCUCCGGCCACCAUCUUCUGUCACCUGGACAACUAGAGGAGCUGAGCGGUCUCCUGCCUCCUCAUGUCUUCUGCAGUCCACUCUCCAGACAGCACCAAACCGACCUUCCUAAAACGUCCCCCUUCUUACACGCUGGCUCCUUCUUUUCCUAGGGCUCAGCUUCAGUGGCUGGUCCUCAGAGAGGCCAUCCUGUGCACGGCCACCCACCACUUAUCACAGUGCAACAGUGUUUGACAUGUGUCUACAUAGGGUGCUGUCAGGAAGCUUCCAGCACCUUCCCACAGUCCCAUCCUUCCCUGGACAGUAGCUUCCUCCCCACCCCCAAACAACCUGUCAAAAAAAUAAACCCACAAAAAAGAAAGAAAACCCAUAAAAGAACCUAGCAUUAGCUACUCUCUUAACGUCCCUCUCCUCUCUCCGUCUCUCCCCCUCUCUCCACCCCUGUGGCUCUCACAGCUUUGCCCCCGCCGCCCUUACCUGAGCAGCCCAGCUGAAGCAGGAGGCAGACGUCAAGUUUCUCUGGGAGGCAAGGAGUGGAAACCAUCACACCCGGCCUCUGCCCCUGACACCUGAGGGGCUAUAGGGUCUUAGGGCCUUGAGGUCUUUGAGGCAGGGCCCUGGGGAGGCAGGGGAAGACCUAAAGUCCUCAGGCUUUGCUUGGUUUUGGGGUUUUGGUUAUUUAAGAGAGUGGGGGGGGCAGGGGAGAGGAAGAAAGAGUUUUAAGCAGGCUCCAUUCUGAGCACGGAGCCCAACUCAGGGCUCCAUCUCCGACCUGAGCUGAAACCAAGAGGCGGAUGCUUAACUGCGUCACCCAGGCACCCCAAACUCUUCAUGAUUUUUUUU